GAGGACGGACGCUGGCGGCGUGCCUAAUACAUGCAAGUAGAACGCUGAAGACUUUAGCUUGCUAGAGUUGGAAGAGUUGCGAACGGGUGAGUAACGCGUAGGUAACCUGCCUAUUAGCGGGGGAUAACUAUUGGAAACGAUAGCUAAUACCGCAUAAUAGUGUUUAACACAUGUUAGAUGCUUGAAAGAUGCAAAUGCAUCACUAGUAGAUGGACCUGCGUUGUAUUAGCUAGUUGGUGGGGUAACGGCCUACCAAGGCGACGAUACAUAGCCGACCUGAGAGGGUGAUCGGCCACACUGGGACUGAGACACGGCCCAGACUCCUACGGGAGGCAGCAGUAGGGAAUCUUCGGCAAUGGGGGCAACCCUGACCGAGCAACGCCGCGUGAGUGAAGAAGGUUUUCGGAUCGUAAAGCUCUGUUGUAAGAGAAGAACGUGUGUGAGAGUGGAAAGUUCACACAGUGACGGUAACUUACCAGAAAGGGACGGCUAACUACGUGCC
rnacentral:rRNA from 1 species